rnacentral:misc_RNA from 1 species
UGGAGUUUGUAGCUGCAUUGUUCUUAUUAUUAACGGGAGGAGUAAGUCGCAACUAAUUGAAAAGAUUUGCAUCAUUCCCAUUGCAGCACUAUUGGCAUGUAAGCAGGAGUCUACUGUGCCGACAAGGUCAAGCUCUUUCUAAUUCAUGGUUGUUGCUGCCAUUAAAUAUGAUAUCCAUUAUUGGAAAUGGCUUCAGGGAGGGAUUUUCUUGUUAUUGGCGGAUUGGAUUGUGGG